ensembl:lncRNA
CUAUUCUUCUCUAUUCCUCUCCUACUUCUCUCCUACUUCUCUCUAUUCUCCUACUUCUCUCCUAUUUCUCUCCUACUUCUCUCCCAUUUCUCUCCCAUUUCUCUCCUAUUUCUCUCCAACUUCUCUCCUAUUUCUCUCCUACUUCUCUUCUACUUCCUAUUUGCUCUGAACAAACGCCAGUUCUCUAGAUGUGUAUCUUAUCGAUUUACCGCUGUUCUUCCACAUGCUUACUUUGCUUAUCUAUCUGCUGCGACGUAAAGUUUACAAUCAGUGUGCGGCCAGUCCGAGAGCAGUCCAUAUACACCGUCCACGAGGAGAACCGCCGGCCCGAUUCCAGGCGGAGAACCCGAGAUAAAAUCCAUACUAUCCACAAGUGCUUAAGCGUCGGCCAUAUUGGAUAGCGGCUGAUGAAGUAAAGCGCCGAUGUAGAGAGAGAGAAGAGGAAGAGGAGCCCGAGGAAGGAUCUUCUCCUGAACCUCAUCUGCGGAGGCAUCAUACCGGAAUAAACAAUUUAUAUAAAUAAAUAAAUAAAAAAGAAAAAAAAAAAGAAGAAAAAAAAGAAAGGAAGUAAAAAUUGCGCGGCGGAAAUCUCCUCCACAGCCCAGUCUCGCGCGGAGAUCACAAGCUCCUCUUCCUGCCGCGUUUCUCGGUCAGCCAGAGACAGACAGCUUCUUCAGAAGAGCAAGAAGAAGAACAAGAAGAGCAAGAAGAAGAGGAAGAAGAAGAAGGAGAAGAAGGAGAAGAAGGGGAAGAGGAAGAAGGAGAAGCUCCUACAGCUCGGGUGGAUCCAGCAGAAAGGGAAGGAGAAGCCCCGAGGAGAGUCAGCAGAUCUCCGAGAUCCACAACAUCCUGCUCUCUGGCACGAGCGCAACCAGAUGAAUGGAAGCGCAACUACGCACGUCAAAGCGGGGGCAGCGCGCGCGAGCGACUCGAGUCUUUUUUUUUUUUUUUUCUUUCCGACCGAGUCUUCACAGAGCCGAGUCCAGCAAGUGAAUCGAAUCAGGAAGUGAAUCAAACGUUGCGGUUGAAUCGUUUAACUCUUUAUUACAUGAAUUAUUACACCAUUAUUUUUAAAAAUGGAUUUAUAUUACUAGAAUUAGUUCAUUGAUUAGAAAGUUAAUCGUUAAAAAUGUGCAAUGGUUGAAAGUAUUCACAUAGUCAAAAAUAACACAGAAUGUAUGAGAUUAUAUUCCAAUGACUGCUUUUUCCAGACUAUAAAUUGCUAUAAGAG